rnacentral:rRNA from 1 species
GACGAACGCUGGCGGCGUGCUUAACACAUGCAAGUCGAACGAAGUGGCGAACGGGCGAGUAACGCGUAAUCAACCUGCCCUUCAGAGGGGGACAACAGUUGGACACGACCGCUAAUACCGCAUACUGAAGGAUGGGAUUGCGUUUGAUUAGCUAGUUGGAGGGGAAACGGCCCACCAAGGCGAUGAUCAGUAGCCGGUCUGAGAGAGUGACCGGCCACAGUGGGACUGAGACACGGCCCAGACUCCUACGGGAGGCAGCAGUUGGGAAUCUUCCGGAAUGGACGAAAGUCGGACGGAGCAACGCCGCGUGAGUGAUGACGCCUUUCGGAUUGUAAAGCUCUGUUAAUCGGGACGCGGUACCGGAAUAGAAAGCCACGGCUAACUACGUGCCAGCAGCCGCGGUAAUAC